CAUACUACUUUGCCCUAUUAGUAUCUAAAUACACAAAUGUUGUAUCAUUGUCAAGUGAGACAACUCUUUACUGUUUUUUUUUAAUUGAUUAGAAUUACGUUUUUAAUCAUGUUAAUAUUAAUCAAAGACAUAUACUACUUUGCUUUCUUAGUAUGAAAAAGCAAAAAUGUGGCAUUAUUGUCAACUGAGACAAUUUUGAAUUAAAUAGCAUUAUCAUGAUUAUGUUUAUAAAAUCAAUUUAAUUCACCAAAUCUCAUUGUUCGAAAAAAAAAAACAACAUUCUACUUUAUACAAAUGGAAUUUUUUCUAAGUCAUAAAAUAUGCGAAUACUUUAUAAAAAAAAAACUGUAAGCGCUUUAUCAACACUUUUCUUUUUCAUUUUUUAUCUUUAUCAUCUGAGUGUGAUGCAGCACCAUCAGUACCGGAUUGACGUCAGGGUGAGAUGUAUGGAUCAUAUAAUCAGCCUCUAAACAUGGAUAUGGACCAUAGAGGUAGCAUCUAAACACGGGACGAUUUACUACACUGCAUAAAUGAUAAUGUUUGCCGACAUCAAUCUAUCGGACCAUUGGUAGAAUUUUGCAAAACUUUACAUUGGUCAAACUGAAUUGUUAAAACGCUGCAAAAAGUGGUCUAUAAUUCCAAUAAAUUAUGCGAUGAUACGAAUAUAAAAAUUAGACGAUGUGGUGAGAUUGGCAAUGAGACAACUCUUCGCAAGAGACAGUUUUAAAAGUUGAAAUUGAUUUAAUUAAUUUGAAAAAUAAAACAAAUAUAAGUGGGAAUAAUACAGGGAAAAAAAGUUACAGAAAGAGCUUCAAAUGAUGAAAGAAUAAGACGUCCACAUGUUUAAUUAUAAUCAGGAGUGAACUAAGGAACGUAUGAAUUAAACAAUGAAAUAUCGAAUGGAUAAAAUAAAUAUACUCUUUGAGUAUACAGUGAUUUCAAUAUCAUGAAUAUUGCGACAAGAGACAUAGUAUGUUUCCCACCAUGACAUUUCCUGGGUUCUUUGCG